ACUGCUCAGUAACACGUGGAUAACCUGCCCUUGGGUCCGGGAUAACCCCGGGAAACUGGGACUAAUACCGGAUAGAUCAAAGAUACUGGAAUGUUCUCUGGUCCAAAACUCCGGUGCCCAAGGAUGGGUCUGCGGCCUAUCAGGUUGUAGUGGGUGUAACGUACCUACUAGCCUACGACGGGUAAGGGUUGUGAGAGCAAGAUCCCUGAGAUGGAUUCUGAGACAUGAAUCCAGGCCCUACGGGGUGCAGCAGGCGCGAAACCUUUACACUGCGGGAAACCGCGAUAAGGGGACCCCGAGUGCCAGCACCUAGUGCUGGCUGUCCCGCUGUCUAAAUAACAGUGGUUAGCAAGGGCCGGGCAAGACCGGUGCCAGCCGCCGCGGUAACACCGGCGGCCCGAGUGGUAGCCGCUAUUAUUGGGUUUAAAGGGCCCGUAGCCGGCCUAUUAAGUCUCUUGGGAAAUCUGGCGGCUUAAUCGUCAGGCGUCCAAGAGAUACUGGUAGGCUUGGGACCGGGAGAGGUGGGAGGUACUCCAGGGGUAGGGGUGAAAUCUCGUAAUCCUUGGGGGACCACCGAUGGCGAAGGCAUCCCACCAGAACGGGUCCGACGGUGAGGGACGAAAGCUGGGGGCACGAACCGGAUUAGAUACCCGGGUAGUCCCAGCUGUAAACGAUGCUCGCUAGGUGUCAGGUGCGGUGCGACCGCAUCUGGUGCCGCAGUGAAAACUUGAAGCGAGUCACCUGGGAAGUACGGUCGCAAGGCUGAAACUUAAAGGAAUUGGCGGGGGAGCAC
rnacentral:rRNA from 1 species